AUUGAACGCUGGCGGCAUGCCUAACACAUGCAAGUCGAACGGCAGCAUGAAUCAGUUUACUGAUUUGAUGGCGAGUGGCGAACGGGUGAGUAACGCGUAGGAAUAUACCUUUCAGCGGGGGAUAACACGGGGAAACUCGUGCUAAUACCGCAUACGCUCUUCGGAGGAAAGCUGGGGACCGCAAGGCCUGGCACUGAAAGAUUAGCCUGCGUACGAUUAGCUAGUUGGUAGGGUAAAGGCCUACCAAGGCGACGAUCGUUAGCUGGUCUGAGAGGAUGAUCAGCCACACUGGGACUGAGACACGGCCCAGACUCCUACGGGAGGCAGCAGUGGGGAAUAUUGGACAAUGGGGGGAACCCUGAUCCAGCAAUGCCGCGUGUGUGAAGAAGGCCUGAGGGUUGUAAAGCACUUUCAGUGGGGAGGAAGUUGAGUGGUUUAAGAGAUGAUUCAAUUGACGUUACCCACAGAAGAAGCACCGGCUAACUCCG
rnacentral:rRNA from 1 species